AAAUUAUUUGUUAUGAAAUUGUUUGACAGAAUCCUCUUUGCGUCACAGAUGGCGACGUGAGUCAUUCUUACGUGACGUAUAAUCUAGUGGACGGGAAGAGCAACACGGCUCCUUAUUCAUCCACCUUGAUAGCUUGCUAGGUAACAUGAAACCGAAAUAUUGAAGCUCUUUUAGGCCAUUCUUGUGUAUAUUAGUCUCAGUGUCUUAAACACAAUUGUGUUAACGUAUCAACUGCUUAAAUGUAACGUCAUUUGCAUGUUAAAUGUGUUAACUUGUUAAGAUUGACACUGAGCCCGGCACUAGGCUAGUCUCUAAUGCUAACCAGCUAAUGCUAUUUAGCGAACUAAUAUCCCCGACCAUGAGCUCACUAAGCUACUUCUCCCCUGCUAAAGAGGUCUGCUGGACUCAGAAAGAAGCUCUGGGGCUUAACAUUGUCGUAAAAGAGGAUGAUAUUACAGUGAAAGGAGAGGAAGAAGCUUUCAGAAUGAAAAAGGAGGAAGAGGAGGCUGUUAUAGGGAAAGAAGAGGAGGAGCAUUUUGGAGUGGAGGGAGUAUCGGCUGUCACAGUGGUAAAAGAGGUAGAAGCUUUCAGAAUGAAAGAGGAGGUAAUCACAUUGAAAGAAGAGAAUGACACUUUAGGAGUGAAAGAGGAAGAGGGGAUACAGGCUGUCACAGUGGAAAAGGAGGAAGAAGCUUUCCGAAUGAAAAAGGAGGAAGAGGCGGCUGUUAGAGUGAAAGACGAACCUUUUUGGGAGGAAGACGAGGCUAUCUCAAUAAAAGAGAAGGUUGAAGCCGUUCUGGGAGUGAAAGAGGAGGAGACAGAAGAUCUGAUUAACAGCAGCUUCCGUUUCUCUAUGAAGGCCCGUAUCCCCUCCUGUCCGGAACCAGUCCACAACUUCACAUCUCACAGUUGUUUAAAAGCAGAGAAGAAGUCCCAGAACCUGAUGACACAUAGGAGAGAGUUGUAGCCAUUGAUUCUUGAAGAAUAUAACUUCUAAAUGCCCAAUGACCUCAGUUCAACGGUCAUACCCCAUCUGAAUCCAAUAUAUACCGAGUUUACAAAACAUUAUGAACACCUGCUCAACUUUGAUUUCCCAUCAGAACCCACAACAGCCUGUUUAACUCUGAGGGGUAAUAUACUAUGUAGUGGGAUAGAGGAGUUAGUGAGCUGACUUUGCUUCAAUUCUGAAUUCGACUCACUGAAUUCAACUCAGGAUAACUGUUGAAGGUCUCUUACCUCUUAACCAUGUAAGUUUCUAGGGCAACAAAUCUUUCAUCUCUAACCUGUUCCUGGGCAGGCUAGUUGAGGACCAAUCAGGAGGCAGGCUAACCCUACUUUAUCCUGACUCAAGUGUUGUGUCUGAGCUGUGAUUUGAGGACCAAUCAAAUCGAAAUCCCUUCCAUCUGUGAUUGCAAUAAAAAGUCAUAAGUUUACCAUCUGUUUGAUGUUCUCAUUCACACAGGAGAGAGACAUGACUAUUAUGGAUCCUCUGGGGAGCCUCAACAACAUCCUGAUGCUGACGAGGCAGAGAAGAGUCUCUCCAGAUCAGAACACCAGAUGGACAACGCUAGCCCUUCCUCCCUCCCCGAGUCCCCGUGUCAUGCCUUUCCCGGUAGCACGUUACUGCUGGGUAUGAAGAGGUUGUCUGUGCUGCUGGUGGACUGCAGGAAAACAACGGGUCUGAGUGGAACUGUGAGAAGAGGAGAAGAGAAGAAAGGAUCAGAUUUGACACAUCAAAGAGAGAGAUCAGACUCUCACGUUGACAGCGGUAAGAGUCCUCCGGGGGAUCCGGACCCAGCGACGCCCAAACCAGCUGGACGACACCACUGCGCCCAGUGUGGAAAGAGUUUUAACCAUUUAGGGAACCUGAAAACGCAUGGCAGGACACAUACGGGAGAGAAGCCGUACCACUGCGCCAUGUGUGGAAAGCGAUUCACCCAUUCAGGGAGCCUGAAAGCACACACGAAAAUACACACAGGGGAGAAACCUUAUCACUGCUCUCAGUGCGGAAAGAGAUUUAUCCAGUUAGGGAACCUGGAAUCACACGAGAGAACUCACACAGAAGUAAAGAGGCUUUUCCACUGUUCUCAUUGUGAAAAAACGUUUAAGAAUUUAGGGAACCUGAAAGUGCAUGAGAAAUGCCAUACAGGCGGGAAGCUUUUUCGCUGCUCCCAGUGUGGAACGAUAUUUACCCAGUUUAGGCACCUGACAGACCACGAGGUAACACACACAGGGAAGAUGCCUUACCACUGCUCCCGGUGUGGAAAGACAUAUUUCACAUCACAUGCACUUAGUCUUCAUGAGAGAACACACACAGUGCUCCCGCCCUUAUCUCAUAUUUUUGACUGAAAAAUCGUGUUUAUGCCACAUGAAAUCAAAUUGUAGAAAGUUUACUCGACAACGACGACGACAAAACAAAUGUUACCCUCUGUUUCUUCUUGAGAAAACACAUUAAAACAAUUAUUUAACAUUCAAUUCUUAUUACUACCAACUGAAAUAAGAAUUUCCAAUAUUAUUUUUCCAAUCAAGUUACAGUCACGGUCUUCAUCUGAAGAGGAGAGGCGAGAAGGAUCGGAGGACCAAAAUGUGGCGUGAUAUGUGUUCAUGUUGAAUGUUUAAUUAAAGAAAGAACUGAACAC